UUUUUUUCCAGCUCAAUUUCUCGCGCGGAUUGUCCUUUAUCCGUUUUUUUUCACGUCGAAGACACGAAGGAAAGGAAUGGAGGCAAAUAAAAGGGAAGAGAUGAAAUGCGAAAGGAAACUGUGACAAAUCAAGUCAAGGUCAAUUGAAACAAAGAAAACAAGCACACGUGCGAUGACGCGUUUAUAUUCCCUUUAAUAUCUUUUAAUUGAAUUUCUUAUAAACAACCAAAAUUAUUUCUUUUAUAAUAAAUACAGGGUGAUUCGUAUAAAGUGAUCGAUUUAAUUAAUAUUAUCAAAAUUUAAAGAUAUAUAUGAAACAGUAACUUGUAUAUAUAAUCAACAUAAUCUAUACAAAGAACAUUAUAAUAUAUGGAGACGAUUAUUUAAUGAGUGGGGGGAAGUCUUGAGGAGAUUUCGAGGUCAACUUAACUUUUUUUUAUAUGAUAUGCUAUAUUUUUCAUUAUAUUAUAGCAUGGUAGUCCUUUUUAAGAUAAAUUCAAUAUUCUAUUACAUAAUGUCAUUCGAGAGCAGUUAAUAUCACAAGUAAAAUAAAGUGUAAAUGUAUAAAGUGUAAA